GGAAUUAGUCUGGCAAGUA
rnacentral:misc_RNA from 1 species